ACACAGGUGUUGCAUGGCUGUCGUCAGCUCGUGUCGUGAGAUGUUGGGUUAAGUCCCGCAACGAGCGCAACCCUCAUCCUUAGUUACCAUCAGGUAAUGCUGGGGACUUUAAGGAAACUGCCAGUGAUAAACUGGAGGAAGGUGGGGAUGAUGUCAAGUCAUCAUGGCCCUUAUGGAGUGGGCUACACACGUGCUACAAUGGUGGCUACAAUGGGCUGCAAAGUCGCGAGGCUAAGCUAAUCCCUUAAAAGCCAUCUCAGUUCGGAUUGUACUCUGCAACUCGAGUACAUGAAGUUGGAAUCGCUAGUAAUCGUGGAUCAGCAUGCCACGGUGAAUACGUUCUCGGGUCUUGUACACACUGCCCGUCACGCCAUGGGAAUUGGUUUCACUCGAAGC
rnacentral:rRNA from 1 species